rnacentral:rRNA from 1 species
UACGAAGGGGGCUAGCGUUGCUCGGAAUUACUGGGCGUAAAGCGUGCGCAGGCGGUUUGCUAAGACAGGUGUGAAAUCCCCGGGCUUAACCUGGGAACUGCGCUUGUAACUGGCAAGCUAGAGUGUGGGCAGAGGGGGGUGGAAUUCCACGUGUAGCAGUGAAAUGCGUAGAGAUGUGGAGGAACACCGAUGGCGAAGGCAGCCCCCUGGGCUAACCACGUGA